rnacentral:lncRNA from 1 species
AAAAAAAUAUUUAAUUAAUUAAUUAAUUAACUAAAUAAAAUAAAUAAAUAAAUAAAAUAUAACAAAUUAUUUUGGACUUGGGUCUCCCUCAUUUGAGCCCAUUACCCACGAAAAUCAGUCUAUAAAUACUGAGGUUUCAGUAGAGGAAAAGACACUUGGAGUUACACUGGGAGAUUCACUUGAGAAAAAGGGAGAGAAGCAAAAGUACUCUGAGGUUUCCUUAGAACAAAACCACGAGGAAAAAGAUAGUGAGAGAAGGAAACUUAGGAACUACUCUGCAGCAACCUCCAGGCAACUCUGAAAGGUUCAUUCUGACUCACAGACUUUCAACUCAAGCAAACCCUGCCAUUUGAUUUUUCUUCUCCAAUCAGGUUUGCCCUAUAUCCAUCAUCUUUAUGCCUUUAAUUUGAAUGCUCUAAAUAUAUGAGGUAUUAUGGGUGAAUUUGAUACCCUUUUGAUGCAUGUGUUUGACAAGAGGUUUAGGCCUCCUACCCUUUAUUGCUUUUUGUGAAUUGAAAGGGCAUGAUUCAUGUGGUUACAUUUUGAUUUGAGGGCAACUCUUGGUUACCCUAUUUUGUUUCACUAACCCUUUUGUUGAGUUUUUGUGAAGGCACAUGACUUUUG